rnacentral:rRNA from 1 species
CACCGCGGUUAUACGAGAGACCCUAGUUAAUAGAUACGGCGUAAAGAGUGGUUUAGGAUAAAAACAAAUAAAGCCAAAGAUCCUCCCGGCUGUAGUAAGCACUCUGAGGACACGAAGCCCUACUGCGAAAGUAGCUUUAAUUAAUACCCUGACGCCACGAAAGCUAAGAAA